rnacentral:rRNA from 1 species
AGAGUUUGAUCCUGGCUCAGAGCGAACGCUGGCGGCGUGCUUAACACAUGCAAGUCGAACGCGCAGUCUUCUGUAGCAAUACAGGAGGUGGGCGCGUGGCGAACGGGUGCGUAACACGUGGACAACUUUCCUGGUGGUGGGGAAUAACCCCGCGAAAGCGGGGCUAAUACCGCAUAACAUUGCGAGGGCACAUGCUUUUG